GUGGGUAAUAUAGAUGCGAAUUUAAGGGGUUACUUUAAGUUACUUUUAAGGUAUUAGUGGUGGGCAAUUUAGUUUCAAAUUUUGUGGGUUAUUAUAAAUGAUUUUUAUAAUGGUAUAAGUGAGUAAUUUAGAUGAAGAUUAGGUGAUUACUUUAGUUUAUUUUAUAUAGCGGUAGAGCUGGGUAAUUUAGAUAUAGAUUUAGUGGGUUACUUUAUGCUAUUUUCAUAAUAGCAUAGGUGGGUAAUUUUUUAGAAAAUAUAAUAGAUCCAAGCCAUGAUGAUUUGAUUUUACUGAUUGAUGGACAAAUAUUUUUUUUAGGAAUUUCUAGUAUUUCUCUCUUAUCUAAGAGUUACCUAGUAUCCUAGGUGGCGUCACCUGGAGGUUUCAAAUUGAG
rnacentral:lncRNA from 1 species